UGGGGAAUUUUGCACAAUGGGGGAAACCCUGAUGCAGCGACGCCGCGUGAUUUAGAAGGCCUUCGGGUUGUAAAAAUCUUUUCUAUGGGAAGAAAAUGACAGUACCAUAGGAAUAAGGACCGGCUAAUUACGUGCCAGCAGCCGCGGUAAUACGUAAGGUCCGAGCGUUGUCCGGAAUCAUUGGGCGUAAAGGGUACGUAGGCGGGUAAGCAAGUUAGAAGUGAAAUCCUAUAGCUCAACUAUAGUAAGCUUUUAAAACUGCUCAUCUUGAGGUAUGGAAGGGAAAGUGGAAUUCCUAGUGUAGCGGUGAAAUGCGCAGAUAUUAGGAGGAAUACCGGUGGCGAAGGCGACUUUCUGGCCAUAACCUGACCCUGAGGUACGAAAGCGUGGGUAGCAAACAGG
rnacentral:rRNA from 1 species